rnacentral:rRNA from 1 species
UACGUAGGGGGCAAGCGUUGUCCGGAAUCAUUGGGCGUAAAGAGCGUGUAGGCGGGCCGGAAGGUCUGGUGUGAAAGCCCGGGGCUCAACCCCGGAGGGUCACCGGAAACCGACGGUCUUGAAUCUGGAAGAGGAGAGUGGAAUUCCUGGUGUAGCGGUGGAAUGCGCAGAUAUCAGGAGGAACACCAAUGGCGAAGGCAGCUCUCUGGUACAUGAUUGACGCUGAGACGCGAAAGCGUGGGGAGCGAACAGG